rnacentral:rRNA from 1 species
CAAAAACAUCGCCUCCUGCAAAAAUCAACGUAUAGGAGGUCCUGCCUGCCCAGUGACAACUAGUUAAACGGCCGCGGUAUUUUGACCGUGCUAAGGUAGCGCAAUCACUUGUCUCUUAAAUGGGGACCUGUAUGAAUGGCGAAACGAGGGCUUAACUGUCUCCUUUCUCCAGUCAAUGAAAUUGAUCUGCCCGUGCAGAAGCGGACAUACCAAUACAAGACGAGAAGACCCUUUGGAGCUUAAGAUACAAGGCCAACUAUAGUCAAAGGCCCAAAUUAAACCUAGCCAAACAAACAGCUAACUGGCCCCUAUCUUCGGUUGGGGCGACCACGGGGGAAAACAAAGCCCCCGCGCAGAACGGGGACCACACCCUAAAACCAAGAGGGACACCUCUAAGUCACAGAACACCUGACUAAACAGAUCCGGCCAACAGGCCGAUCAACGGACCAAGUUACCCUAGGGAUAACAGCGCAAUCCCCUCCAAGAGUUCAUAUCGACAAGGGGGUUUACGACCUCGAUGUUGGAUCAGGACAUCCUAAUGGUGCAACCGCUAUUAAGGGUUCGUUUGUUCAACGAUUAAAGUCCUACGUGAUCUGAG